UGCGCCCAUGACGGCCGCGCCUCAGUGGUGACGUCAUGGAACUUUGAAAUAGAGCGGGAAGGGAAGUGAGGGGCUGCUGCGUGGCGGCUCUGAGGAAACGGAGACGGCGCUAUGCAAUGCAAAAGCCUGUCCUGGAGCAGCCUCUGCUUAUAAUCACAGCCACGACUCGGGAGCUUGAUGUUGAAGGUACUAUGCAGUAGCGGCUGAAACACUCUUGGAACAGUUUCUCCAAGCAGCCCUGCGUGUUGAGCAGCA